CCCUUAGAUGUUCUGGGCCGCACGCGCGCUACACUGAUGCAUUCAACGAGUCUAAAACCUGCUCUGAUAGGGGUGGGUAAUCUUUUGAAUGUGCAUCGUGAUUGGGAUAGAUGAUUGCAAUUUUUCAUCUUCAACGAGGAAUGCCUAGUAAACGCAAGUCAUCAGCUUGCAUUGAUUACGUCCCUGCCCUUUGUACACACCGCCCGUCGCUCCUACCGAUUGAAUGAUCCGAUGAAUAUCAUGGAUUGAGGAUGCAAGCAGGUUCGCCUGUCUUCAUCUUCGAGAAGUGAAGUAAAUCUUAUCAUUUAGAGGAAGGAGAAGUCGUAACG
rnacentral:rRNA from 1 species